GACGAACGCUGGCGGCGUGCCUAAUACAUGCAAGUGGGACGCAAGGAAACACACUGUGCUUGCACACCGUGUUUUCUUGAGUCGCGAACGGGUGAGUAACGCGUAGGUAACCUGCCUAUUAGCGGGGGAUAACUAUUGGAAACGAUAGCUAAUACCGCAUAAUAUUAAUUAUUGCAUGAUAAUUGAUUGAAAGAUGCAAGCGCAUCACUAGUAGAUGGACCUGCGUUGUAUUAGCUAGUUGGUAAGGUAAGAGCUUACCAAGGCGACGAUACAUAGCCGACCUGGGAGGGUGAUCGGCCACACUGGGACUGAGACACGGCCCAGACUCCUACGGGAGGCAGCAGUAGGGAAUCUUCGGCAAUGGACGAAAGUCUGACCGAGCAACGCCGCGGGAGUGAAGAAGGUUUUCGGAUCGUAAAGAUCUGUUGUAAGUCAAGAACGUGUGUGAGAGUGGAAAGUUCACACAGUGACGGUAGCUUACCAGAAAGGGACGGCUAACUACGUG
rnacentral:rRNA from 1 species